GAUCCAGAGGUGCAAGAUCUUCAGUCGGAACCUCCAGACAACAGUAUGGACGUCGGAUGAGCUUUGAUCGUUCCCCAAGUCCUUCGAGAGCUCCAGGACGUGGCUCCAGAAUCAGUGACCGAGG
rnacentral:sRNA from 1 species